CCCAUUUCCCAAAAUCCUGCUUUGUUUUUGAACCUACACCCCCACUCUUGUUUCAUUCACUCUCUCUCUCUCUUCUUCUCUCUGUUGCUUUAAAACCAUCCUAUUUUCCCUUCACAACAUCAUAUCUUCACCCUUUGCUCACAAAAAUUGAUGGUAUUUUUUGAUGUCAGUGUGUUCAGGGUAUUUGGUCAGCAGUGGUAAUUGGAUCCACUCUUCUUGUCUGAACCCUGGCAUGACAACUAGUUGCUGACAAAUCAACAUUAUUUGAGUAAAACUAGAAAGAGGCUUCUUACCUUGGCAUCAUUUUCAGUCAUGAUAUAUAUUCGAAUUGAUGAUCGAAUUCAUUAAACAGAUCUUUCCAAAUACAUCUUUUCUUUUCCAAUUUAAACUAUCAGUUUCGAGACCAGUUGAGUACUCGAUAAAUGACGUCGAGAAAUCUCUAAUUUGGUUUUUUGUAAGAUCAAGUGUUGGAGGUCAUAUUUAACCGUGUUGGUCGGUAAUUCAGAUUCUGUAUUGUUAGAAAUGAUUCUAUGGCACUUCUUAUUUUAGGGCUUUUGUAUUUACCUUUUACUACUAUUCAAAAAUUUCAAAUUUACCCUAAA